UCGGACACAGAUUCAUAGGUCACUUUUAUUUUCUACAGUAACAAACAUUUACUCAUCUCCCUCCUCCAGCAACAGGGAAACAAAACAAGUGGGCCCCGAGCACCCAAGAACCAGUAGAGG